UACAGAGGUCUCAAGCGUUGUUCGGAUUCAUUGGGCGUAAAGGGUGCGUAGGCGGCGCGGUAAGUCGGGUGUGAAAUCUCGGAGCUUAACUCCGAAACUGCAUUCGAUACUGCCGUGCUUGAGGACUGGAGAGGAGACUGGAAUUUACGGUGUAGCGGUGAAAUGCGUAGAUAUCGUAAGGAAGACCAGUGGCGAAGGCGGCUGACUGGACAUGUAUUGACGCUGAGGUGCGAAAGCGUGGGGAGCAAACAGG
rnacentral:rRNA from 1 species